UAGUUACGAUUUUAAUAAUGAAGUAAUAAUCCAAAAAUAUAUAUAUAGAAGACGAUACAAAUACAUGUGAAAGUUUAAAACAAUCUAUUCAAUGAAAAAUAUACCGUAAAUUUAUUAUGUUUUAAAAAUUCAUAGACACAUAUAUAUUAUAAUAUAUAACAAUUUAAAAUUAAAAACAAAAUGUUUACAUAAAAAUAAAUGAAAAUAAAAAUCCACGCGGUUACGCAGAUCGAGAUCUAGUUGUAGUUAAAAUUCUAUAUUAUAGGAUUCUUUGGAUGUCAUAUGAUAAUGCAUGAUAUGUACUUUGACUUUUUCCUUUUAAAAAAAUUAAUAAAAAUUCGGAAUAUAAAUUUUAAGGUUUAAAUACUUGUUAAUGCAAUUUAUAAAUUAUUAUAUUUUUUAUAUGGUAUAUAAUUUAAUUUAAAUAUAUAUAUAUAUAUAUACAUUCUAAAUAUCUAUUAAAUGAGAUUUUUAUUCAUAUAAUUUUAUAAUCAUAUAUAUCUUGUUAUAACGAAAUAUAGUUAAAACACUUUAUAAAUAACCUUUGAAGUAUAGAGUUUAUUUGUUUUAAAAAAUAGUGACAAACAAAAGAUUUAAAAUUUGUUCGAAGGAUUCUACGAUAAAAUGUUUUUGUGGUGGUAUGUCGUCAUGUUCGACUGGCCAUAUGGAUGUUUUUUUAUCAUACAGUAUUCAUAUAUAUUUAUCAACUUUUUCUUGUUUUAUUUAUUUUAUUUUAAGUUUAAUAUUUGGCAAAUACACAACAAAAUAUAAUGGAUUAAGAUACAUGUAUCCUUUAUACAUUUUGUUUUUACUUUUUACAGUGUUUUGUAGGCUAACACAUAGUUUUAUUUUUGUAUAAAAUGAAUUUUACUACCUACAUUGUUAGAAUUUGACAAUCAUGAAAAAUGCGUAAAAAAAUCUAAAAAAAAAGUUGCAUCCAACCAACCAAAACGUUCGAAGCAUCAAAAAGAAUGUUUUUAUGAGAGAGAUGUGGCGUAAAAGGAAAUCAAAAUUGAUAUUUAAUUUCCUUCAUUUUCUCUCAUUCUACUCUAAAUCAAAAAUCCUGACUUUAGAACCGGAGGAAGAGAAGUUUAGCCAUCGUUCUUCUUCACAUCUUCAUCAACCGGAUGAGGAGUAAUUAAGUCAUCGUUAUUAUUCUUCACAUCUUCAUCAACUGGAGAUGAGGAGUUAAGCUAUCGUUAUUCUUCUUCACAUCUUCAUCAACCGGAUGAGGAGGAGUUGUUAAACAUUUGUAGUUCUUUUUCACAUCUUCAUCAACCGGAUGAGCAGUUAAACCUUCAUUUUAUUUAUUCACAUUUUCAUAAACCAGAGAAAAAUGAGUUAUGUCAUCGUUCUUCUUCUCCAUAUCUUCAUCAACACGAGAAUGAAUACUUUAGCCAUCAUUUUUCUUCUCAUCAUUAUCAUCACUCUGCGGAGAAGUUAAUCCAUCGUUGUUUUUCUUCACAUCUUCAUCAACCGGAGAAGAGGUGUUAAGCAUCGUUCUUCUUUUUCAAAUUUUCAUCAAUCAGAGGAGGAGUUAAACAUACGUUGUUCUUCUUCACAUCUUCAUCAACCAGAGAAAAAUGAGUUAAGUCACCGUUUUUCUUCCUCUCAUCUUCAUCAACCGGAGGGAAAUAGUUAAGCCAUCGUUUUUCUUCUCAUCAUCAUCCUCAUUAUAACCGUUUUUACAGCCUAAACACUGAUUUCGUAAUUUCAUUACAGAGAGGGUGUUGUGCAGGCCUAAAAAGUUUGGGGUUAAUAUAGAGAUUGUAUAUGUUUAGGGGGAUAUAUCAAGAGUUUGAUAGUCUAGGUGAGAAUAAGAAGGGUUAAACAAGAUUAGACUAAAUUUAGGAUUCCAUUAGAAGACAUUAUUAGACGAAAUAAAAUUAAAACAUCACAUAAACUUAUCUCAUCCAUCUCGUUUCUUCUACGUGUUGCUAUUCUCGGACCCGGACCCGAGGACUUCCUCACCGCCACCGCCAGUCCUUAUCUUCUUCUAUUCUUCCUCUAUGUCCACUUCUGCAAAAAUUUCAUGAUAAUUAUUCUUUCAUAGCUCACGGCUUCUUUCUUCAUCCCACCUAACGGUAUAAGCAUCAUGCUUAAAUUCAACUAUAAAAGUCCUUCCAUUUGAAACUGAACCUCUGAAAGAAUCAUACACAACCCCUUUCUCACAUAAAAUAUCUUCUGGUUUACAUCUGAGGCAUGGUGCCCACGUACCUUGUUCUGGCUAAUCCUUUUGCCAUAAUCUUGAAUUUCAUGCCGAGAUGAUAUUGGUUACAAAAACUUAGCAGCUCUUCCAUGUCAGCUUCUUUGUUCCUUUCAUAAAGAGCUUGAAGUCCUAGCUCCUCAACAACUAUCCAUGCUUCAAGCUCUUCAUCCUGCCGCUUCCUCUCAGCUUCGGCUAUUCUCUCCUCAGACUCAAGCUCAUCAGCAUGCUGCUUCCUUUCAUCUUCUGCUUUUCUCUCCUCAACCUCAAGCUCAUCAUCAUGCCGCAUCCUCUCAUCUUCUGUUUUUCUUUCCUCAGCCUCUACCUCAUCAUCCUACCUCUUUCUCUCAACUUUCUCUGGUUGCUUCUUCUUGUUCUUAGCUUCUGCUAUUCUCUCCUCAGUCUCAAGCUCAUCAUCCUACCGUUUCAUUUCAUCUUCUGGUCUUCUCUCCUCAGCUUCAAGCUCAUCAUCCUGCCGCAUCCUCUCAUCUUUUACUUUUUUCUCCCCAGCCUCAAGCUCAUCAUCCUACUGCUUCCUCUCAGCUUCCUUUGUCUGCUUCUUCUUGUUCUCGGCAUAAUCACCACUGGGAGGAGCAUCAUCACCAGAAGGUGGAUGAGUUAAUCUAUCAUUGUUCUUCUUCACAUCUUAGUGAAUUAGAGGAGGAGAAGUUAAGCCAUCGUUCUUCUUCACAUCUUCAUUAACCGGAUGAGGUGUAGUUACAUCAUCGUUAUUAUUCUUCACAUCUUCAUCAACCGUCUUCUUUUUCUCAGCAUCAUCACCACUGGGAGGAGCAUCAUAACCAGAAGGUAGAGGAGUUAAUCUAUUGCUCUUCUUCUUCACAUCUUCAUGAAUUGGAGGAGAAGUUAAGCCAUUGUUUUUCUUCACAUCUUCAUCAACCAGAUGAGAAGUAGUUAAGUCAUCGUUAUUAUUCUUUACAUCUUCAUCAAUCAGAGAGGAGGAGUUAAGCUACCGUUAUUCUUCCUCACAUUUUCAACAACCGGAUGAGGAGGAGUUAAACCUUAGUUGUUCUUUUUAACAUCUUCAUCAACCGGAUGUGGAGUUAAAUCUUUAUUUUACUUCUUCACAUCUUCAUCAACAAGAGAAAAAGGAGCUAUGCCAUCGUUUUUCUUUUUAUCAUCAUCCUCAUCACCAUUGUUUGUAUAACCGUUUUUUUUACAGCCUAAAACACUGAUUUCGAAAUUUCAUUACAGAGAGGUAUUGUGCAUGCCUAAAAAGUUUGGAGGCUAAUGUAAAGAGAUUUUAUAUGUUUAGGGGGAUAUAUCAAGAGUUUGAUACUCUAAGUAAGAAUAAGAAUGAUUAAACAAGAUUAGACUAAAUUUAGGGUUUCAAUACAAGACAAGAUUAGACGAAAUCAAAUUAAAGCAUCACAUAAACUAAUCUCAUCCAUUUACUUUCUUUUACGGGUUGCUAUUCUCGGACCCAGACCCGAGGACUUCCUCACCGCCACAGCCGGUCCUUAUCUUUUUCUCUUCUUCCUCUCUGUCCAGUUCUGCAACAAUUUCAUAAUAGUUAUUCCUCCAAAGCUCACGGCUUUCUUCCUCAUCCCACCUAACGGUAUAAGCAUAGUGCUUAAAUUCGACUAUAAAAAUCAUUCCGUUUGAAACUGAACCUCUGAAAUAAUCAUAUACAACCCCUUUCUCACAUAAAAUACCUUCUGGUUUACAUCCGAGGCAUAGUAUCCACAUGCCUACCAGAACUUGCAAUCCACAAUGAACUAUUCCUUUCUGGCUACCCUUUUUGUAGGAAUCUUGAAUUUAAUGUCGAGAUCAUAUUGGUUACAAAAAUAUAACAGCUCCUUUUGCCAUCGGUCUUCUUCUUCACAUCUUCAUCAACCGGAGGAAAAAGAGUUCAGCCAUCGUUUUUCUUCUUCACAUCUUCAUCAACCGGAAGAUGAUGAGUUAAACGAUCGUUGUUCUUUUUCACAUCUUCAUCAAUAGGAGGUGGAUGAGUUAAGCCAUCGUUGUUUUCUUUCACAUCUUCAUUAACCAAAAGAAUAGUACUUAAUCCAUUGUUCUCUUCUCAUCAUCAUGAUCACCCUGAGAAAAAGUUACGUUAUAGAUGUUUUUCUUCACAUCUUCAUUAAUCGGAAGAGUAAGAAUUAAGCCAUCUUUCUUCUUUUUCGCAUCUUCAUCAACCAGAAGUGUAGCAGGUAAGCUAUUGUUGUUCUUCUUCUCAUCUUCAUCAACAAGAGGAGGAUGAGUGAGUUAAGCCAUCAUUGUUCUUCUAAACAUCUUCAUCAACCGAAGGAGGAAGAUUUAUGCCAUCGUUGUUCUUCUUCACAUCUUCAUCAUCUGGAUGAGGAGGAGUUAAACCUUCGUUGUUUUUCUUCACAUCUUCAUCUACUAGAGAAAUAUGAGUUAAGCGUUCUUCUUCUUCACAUAUUCUUCAGUCGGAUGAGAAAUAGUUAAGCCAUCAGUUUUCUUCUUCUCAUCAUCAUCAUCAUCAUCACCAUGAGAAUGAGUUAAGCCAUUGUUGUUCUUCUUCACAUCUUCAUCAACCGAAGGACGAGGAGUUCAGUCAUCGUUAUUUUUUUUCACAUCUUCAUCAACCAGAGAAAAAUGAGUUAUGCUGUUGUUUUUCUUCUUCACAUCUUCAUCAACCAAAGGAAGAAUAGUUAAACCAUCGUUUUUCUUCUCAUCAUCAUUUAGCAUCAUCAUGAAGGAGAGUCAAUCCAUCAUUGGUCUUCUUCACAUCUUCAUGAACCAGAAGAGGAGAAGUUAAGCCAUUGUUGUUCCUCUUUAAAUCUUCGUCAGCCAGAGAGGAGGAGUUAAGCCAUUGUUCCUAUUCUUCACAUCUUUAUCAACCAGAUAAGGAAGAGUUAAACCGUUGUUAUUCUUCUUCACAUCUUCAUCAACCAGAGAAAACAAGUAAAACCAUUGUUUUUCUUCUUCACAUCUUCAUCAUCCGGAGGAGGAAUAGUUAAGGCAUCAUUUUUUUUCAUCAUCAUCGUUUGUAUAGACUUUCCCUUUCUGGCUAUUGCUUCAAGAAUUUGCAACCAACAACAGACUUUCCUUUUCAGGCUACUCCUUUUGUCAGAAUCUUGAAUUUCAUGUGGAGAUUAUAUUGGUUACAAAAUUUAGCAGUUCUUCCAUGUCAGCUUCUUUGUUCCUCUAAAAAAAAGCUUGAAGUCGUAGCUUCUCAUAUAUCAAUGAUGCAAGCUCAUCAUCUUGAUGUUUCUUCUCAGCUUAUGUUUUUAUCUCCUCAACCUCUGUUAUUCUCUCCUCAGCCUCUGUUAUUCUCUCCUCAGCCUCAAGCUCAUCGUCAUGCCGCUUCUUUUAAUAUUUUGCUCUUUUUUCCUCAGUCUCAAGCUCAUCAUCUUGUCGCUUUCCCUCAUCUUCUGCUAUUCUCUCAUCAGCCUCAAGCUCAUCAUCCUACCGAUUCCUCUCCGCUUCCUCUUGCUGCUUCUUCUUGUUCUCAGCAUCAUCACCACCAGGAGGAGGAGUUAAGCCAUCAUUGUUUUUCUUCACAUAUUCAUCAACAUGAGGAGGAGGAGUUUAAUAUAUUUAUAAUUAAAUUUUACUAUUUGUAAUAUUUGAAACAUAAUAACAUAGAUCAUUUAAGAACAAAUAAUAUUUAUUAAUGAUUUUAGUGAAUACAACAUUUUUAGAGUGUGAUUGAAAAAGAGAGGAACUUAAUUUAAAAUAAUUAGAGUAAAAUUUUUAAUUCUUUAAAAUGAAGUAAUAUUUUAUUAUGUUUUCAUUUAUAUAUUUAGUAAAGUGGUUGAAAAUCUUUCAUCUAAUGGCAAACAAAAGUUGAAAAGGAAUAAAACUGAAUUUAAAAUAAAUGUAUAUUCUAAUAUAUGCAUAUUUAGUCUUUCUCGUUUACGCACAUGCCUUCCAGAAUUUUGCAUCUAAAACAAACAUUCUUUUUCUAUCUAUUCUUUUUUCUUGGAGCUUAGACUUUAUGUCUUCACGAAUUUUUUCAUAAACUCCUAGCACUUCCUCCAUUUCAUCAGCUUCAUAAAAUGCUAACCAUGCGUGAAGCUCAUCAUCAUUCUCAUCAUAAUAAACCAGAGCUACUAGAGACAAUUGUGAGGAACUCAUUCACAUUAAUCUGCUAAGAAGAAGGAUAUUCUUCAUAAGAUGUUGAAGAUGGUCAAAAGAAUGUCAGACUAUGAUUUUUUUUGAACUAUUAAUUGUUUAUUCAGUAACAUUCUUACAAUUAUUAUUUUUAUGUGACACUGAACUUGUUGGUAUUCAUAUCAAUUUGAAAGACCAACAACACUCUAAGCUAAAACCAAACAGAUUCAUCUCAAUUUUUUUUGGUGAUAUACACUAGAAAAACAAGAAAAUAGAGCUUUGAAAAUCUGAUCUUGUAGUAGCAAUUACAUGAUAAAAUGAAACCCAACUAUUCAAACUCUGAAUUAUAUUCAGAAUCUCCAAUCGAGCAACAAUUAAAGGUUAUACAAUGUUAUAUGACAUGAUGAGAGAACAUUAACUUCUUAUAAGGAAUAUAGUCAAAAAUUCUUUUCCAUGUCAGCUUCUUUGUUCCUCUCAAAAAGAGCUUGAAGUCCUAGCUUCUCAUAUAUCCAUGCUGCAAGCUCAUCAUCUUGAUGUUUCCUCUCAGCUUAAGUUUUUAUCUACUCAACCUCUGUUAUUCUCUCCUCAGCCUCAAGCUCAUCGUCAUGCCGCUUCCUUUAAUAUUUUGCUCUUCUUUCAUCAGCUUCUAGCUCAUCAUCUUGUCGCUUCCCUCAUAUUCUGCUAUUCUCUCAUCAGUCUCAAGGUCAUCAUCCUACCGCUUCCUCUUGCUGCUUCUUCUUGUUCUCAGCAUCAUCACCACCAGGAGGAGGAGUUAAGCCAUUAUUGUUUUCCUUCACAUGUUCAUCAACAUGAGGAUGAGGAGUUUAAUAUAUUUAUAAUUAAAUUUUACUAUUUGUAAUAUUUGAAACAUAAUAACAUAGAUCAUUUAAGAAUAAAUAAUAUUUAUUAAUGAUUUUAGUGAGUACAACAUUUUUAGAGUGUGAUUGAAAAAGAGAAGAACUUAAUUUAAAAUAAUUGGAGUAAAUUUUUUAAUUCUUUAAAAUGAAGUAAUAUUUUAUUAUGUUUUCAUUUAUAUUUUUAGUAAAGUGGUUGAAAACCUUUCAUCUAAUGGCAAACAAAAGUUGAAAAGGAAUAAAACUGAAUUUAAAAUAAAUGUCUAUUCUAAUAUAUGCAUAUUCAGUCUUUCUCGUUUACGCACAUGCCUUCCAGAAUUUUUUAUCUAGAACAAACAUUUUCUUUCUAUCUAUUAUUUUUUCUCGGAGCUUAGACUUCAUGUCUUCAUGAAUUGUUUCAUAAACUCCAAGCACUUCCUCCAUUUCAUCAGCUUCAUAAAAUGCUAACUAUGCGUGAAGCUCAUCAUCAUUCUCAUCAUAAUAAACCGGAUGUAAUCCAUCAAAACAAUUCUUAUCAUGAGGUAACUCAUCAUCAACAUUAUCAUCAUCAUCAACCGGAUGUAACCCAUCAUCAACAUUCUCAUCAUCAUCAUUCUUGUCCUCUUUAUCUUACAACUGUGCAAUAUAGAAUCAUAUGUAUGAUAUUAAUAUUUUUCAAAUCAACAAAAUCAUAUAUAUUGUAUUGGAACAAUUAAAUUUGAACUUAAUUUUUGUAGGUAAUUGAGGUUAAUUAUUAUUUUUUUUGCUAAAAAUGAUUGUUUUUAGUGAAAUUAAAAGAUAACAUUAGACCAAAUUUAAGGAAACAAUUGCAUUACAAUAUUAUAUCAAAAUUUAAAAAAAAAUCAAUACUUAAAACAUCCCAUAAACAUCACUUUAGACAACUACUUGUUUUGAUUCUUUGUUCAAUAUAUAUUACAUGAGAAAAUGAAUAUAUGUUGUAAUUGUUUUUAUUUCCUUGUAGCUACUUGAGAUAAUUGUGAGGAACUCAUUCACAUGUAAUCUGCUGAGAAGAAGGAUAUUCUUCAUAAGAAGUUGAAGAUGGUCAAAAGAAUGUCAGACUAUGAUUUUUUUAAACUAUUAAUUGUUUAUUCAGUAACAUUCUUACAAUUAUUAUUUUUAUGUGACAUUGAACUUGUUGGUAUUCAUAUCAAUUUGAAAUACCAACAACACUCUAAGCUAAAACCAAACAUAUCCAUCUCAUUUUUUUUUGUGAUACACACUAGAAAAACAAGAAAAUGGAGCUUUGAAAAUCUGAUCUUGUAGUAGCAAUUACAUGAUAAAAUGAAACCCAACUCUUCAAACUCUGAAUUAUAUUCAGAAUCUCCAAUUGAGCAACAAUUAAAGGUUAUACAAUGUUCUAUGACAUGAUGAGAGAGCACAAACUUCUUAUAAGGAAUAUAGUCAAAAAUUCGAAAUUUUAGAAGACAUUCUUUGUAUUUGUUAAGUACGUUUUUAAUAUAACACUAGAGAUAAAAAAAAUAUCUCAAAAAAAUUCUUUUCACUAACUAUUUUGGGCAUAUACUUCCAUAUUUCCAUUAGUUUCUUAAUAUUUAUAUUUUUGCAUCACUUAAUAUUUAUCUAAAACACUUACAAUAUCGGGUUGCUAACAUUAUUAUCCAUAUAAAAAUGAAAACCAAAAUAACUAAACCAAAAUCAAACUCAUAUUCAUAAAUAACUGAAUGGUUCCUAUAUCGCUUAAACAAAAAAAAACCACAACCGAAGGAGGAAUAGUUAAACCAUCGUUUUUCUUCUCAUCAUCAUUUAGCAUCAUCAUGAAGGAUAGUCAAUCCAUCAUUGGUCUUCUUCACAUCUUCAUCAACAAGAAGAGGAGAAGUUAAGCCAUUGUUGUUUCUCUUUAAAUCUUCGUCAACCAGAGAGGAUGAGUUAAUCCAUUGUUCUUAUUCUUCACAUCUUCAUCAACCAGAUGAGGAGGAGUUAAACUGUUGUUAUUCUUCUUCACAUCUUCAUCAACCAGAGAAAACAAGUAAAGCCAUUGUUUUUUUUCUUCACAUCUUCAUCAUCCGGAGGAGGAAUAGUUAAGCCAUCAUUUUUUUUCAUCAUCAUCGUUUGUAUCGACUUUCCCUUUCUAGCUACUGCUUCAAGAAUUUGCAACCAACAACAGACUUUCCUUUUCAGGCUACUCCUUUUGUCGGAAUCUUGAAUUUCAUGUCGAGAUUAUAUUGGUUACAAAAUUUAGCAGCUCUUCCAUGUCAGCUUCUUUGUUCCUCUCAAAAAAAGCUUGAAGUCGUAGCUUCUCAUAUAUCCAUGCUGCAAGCUCAUCAUCUUGAUGUUUCCUCUCAGCUUAUGUUUUUAUCUCCUCAGCCUCUGUUAUUCUCUCCUCAGCCUCUGUUAUUCUCUCCUCAGCUUCAAGCUCAUCGUCAUGCCGCUUCUUUUAAUAUUUUGCUCUUUUUUCCUCAGUCUCAAGCUCAUCAUCUUGUCGCUUUCCCUCAUCUUCUGCUAUUCUCUCAUCAGCCUCAAGCUCAUUAUCCUACCGCUUCCUCUCUGCUUCCUCUUGCUGCUUCUUUUUGUUCUCAGCAUCAUCACCACCAGGAGGAGGAGUUAAGCCAUCAUUGUUUUUCUUCACAUAUUCAUCAACAUGAGGAGGAGGAGUUUAAUAUAUUUAUAAUUAAAUUUUACUAUUUGUAAUAUUUGAAACAUAAUAACAUAGAUCAUUUAAGAACAAAUAAUAUUUAUUAAUGAUUUUAGUGAAUACAACAUUUUUAGAGUGUGAUUGAAAAACAGAGGAACUUAAUUUAAAAUAAUUGGAGUAAAAUUUUUAAUUCUUUAAAAUGAAGUAAUAUUUUAUUAUUUUUUCAUUUAUAUUUUUAGUGAAGUGGUUGAAAACAUUUCAUCUAAUGGCAAACAAAAGUUGAAAAUGAAUAAAACUGACUUUAGAAUAAAUGUCUAUUCUAAUAUAUGCAUAUUCAGUCUUUCUCGUUUACGCACAUGCCUUCCAGACUUUUGCAUCUAGAACAAACAUUCUCUUUCUAUCUAUUCUAUAGUGAAAUUAAAAGAUAACAUUAGACUAAAUUUAAGAAAACAGUUGCAUUACAAUAUUAUAUCAAAAAUUUUAAAAAAAUCAAUACUUAAAACAUCACAUAAACAUCACUUUCGACAAUUACUUGUUUUGAUUCUUUGUUCAAUAUAUAUUACAUGAGAAAAUGAAUAUAUGUUGUAAUUGUUUUUAUUUCCUUGUAGCUACUAGAGACAAUUGUGAGGAACUUAUUCACAUGUAAUCUGCUGAGAAGAAAGAUAUUCUUCAUAAGAUGUUGAAGAUGGUCAAAAGAAUGCGAGACUAUGAUUUUUUUGAACUAUUAAUUGUUUAUUCAGUAACAUUCUUACAAUUAUUAUUUUUAUGUGACACUGAACUUGUUGGUAUUCAUAUCUAUUUGAAAGACCAACAACACUCUAAGCUAAAACCAAACAGAUCCAUCUCAUUUUUUUUUGUGAUACACACUAGAAAAACAAGAAAAUGGAGCUUUGAAAAUCUGAUCUUGUAGUAGCAAUUUCAUGAUAAAAUGAAACCCAACUCUUCAACACUCUAAGCUAAAACCAAACAGAUCCAUCUUUUACUUUUUUUGUGAUACACACUAGAAAAACAAGAAAAUGGAGCUUUGAAAAUUUGAUCUUGUAGUAGCAAUUUCAUUAUAAAAUGAAACUCAACUCUUCAAACUCUGAAUUAUAUUCAGAAUCUCCAAUCGAGCAACAAUUAAAGGUUAUACAAUGUUAUAUGACAUGAUGAGAGAGCACAAACUUCUUAUAAGGAAUAUAGUCAAAAAUUCGAAACUGUAGAAGACAUUCUUUGUAUUUGUUAAGUACGUUUUUAAUAAAACACCAGAGAUAACAAAAAAUAUCUCAAAAAAAUUCUUUUCACUAACUAUUUUGGGCUUAUACUUCCAUAUUUCCAUUAGUUUCUUAAUAUUUAUAUUUUUGCAUCACUUAAUAUUUAUCUAAAACACUUACAAUAUCGGGUUCCUAACAUUAUUAUCUAGAUAAAAAUGAAAACCAAAAUAACUAAACCCAAACCAAACUCAUAUUCAUAAAUAACUGAAUGGUUCAUAUAUCGCUUAAACAAAAAAAAAACCACAACCGAACUGAAAACAAAAAAACUAAAAACUAAAUAAAAAAAAUUGGAACCAAACCGAAAACCAAAAAAUAUUAGUGAACAAUCAGACGGAUUAAUAAAUUUGGCAGAAAAAUAAU